AGAAAAAUAGAAAAAAGAGAGAAAAAAUGAUUCGCAUAUAUGUAGGCAUACUCACGUAUACUAUACUCACUCACAUGUUGAAAGCACUUCGCUGGUCAAUUAUACUUAUUCCUUUUCCCUCCCUACUCAAUGCCAAUGAAAAGAGG
rnacentral:ribozyme from 1 species